rnacentral:rRNA from 1 species
GACGAACGCUGGCGGCGUGCUUAACACAUGCAAGUCGAACGGAAAGGCCCUGCUUUUGUGGGGUGCUCGAGUGGCGAACGGGUGAGUAACACGUGAGUAACCUGCCCUUGACUUUGGGAUAACUUCAGGAAACUGGGGCUAAUACCGGAUAGGAGCUCCUGCUGCAUGGUGGGGGUUGGAAAGUUUCGGCGGUUGGGGAUGGACUCGCGGCUUAUCAGCUUGUUGGUGGGGUAGUGGCUUACCAAGGCUUUGACGGGUAGCCGGCCUGAGAGGGUGACCGGCCACAUUGGGACUGAGAUACGGCCCAGACUCCUACGGGAGGCAGCAGUGGGGAAUAUUGCACAAUGGGCGGAAGCCUGAUGCAGCAACGCCGCGUGCGGGAUGACGGCCUUCGGGUUGUAAACCGCUUUCGCCUGUGACGAAGCGUGAGUGACGGUAAUGGGUAAAGAAGCACCGGCUAA